rnacentral:misc_RNA from 1 species
GAUGAAGAACGCAGCAAAAUGCGAUAAGUAAUGUGAAUUGCAGAAUUCAGUGAAUCAUCGAAUCUUUGAACGCACAUUGCGCCCGCUGGUAUUCCGGCGGGCAUGCCUGUUCGAGCGUCAUUUCAACCCUCAAGCCCCCGGGUUUGGUGUUGGGGAUCGGCUCUGCCCUUCUGGGCGGUGCCGCCCCCGAAAUACAUUGGCGGUCUCGCUGCAGCCUCCAUUGCGUAGUAGCUAACACCUCGCAACUGGAACGCGGCGCGGCCAUGCCGUAAAACCCCAACUUCUGAAUGUUGACCUCGGAUCAGGUAGGAAUACCCGCUGAACUUAAGCAUAUCGAUAAGCGGAGGA